rnacentral:lncRNA from 1 species
GCCGCUGCUUCUCCACCCAGCCCUGAACGUGGGAACGUUCCGGGCCUUUCUGCCACCUCUUCCUCCCGCCUGCAGGCAGGGUCAGAGCCUCACCUGAGGGGACGUUCGGGCAGCACCCCGGUCCACGCCAUCCUCGGGGGCCUCCAGCCGAGCCUCGGCGGCCCCUGGCUGGACCUGUCAGCCCCGCACGUCCGACAGCAAAUUCUGCAGCCUUGUCCAUUUCUGACGAUGGUUACCUUAUCGACGUAAACUCACAGACCUAAAACGGGGCUUUGAAACAAUGGUCUAUACGCUGCUUACAGCAGGGUCCGCUGGAAUUGCUUACUGAAAGUGGUUUUGCCCAGCCCGGCGCGCCCUCCCGCCAGCAGCGGGACUCGGCUUCCCCGCCCUCGCCCAGACCGCCGCCCGGCCCGGGUCAGCCUCUCCAGACCGGCCGCUGGGCGGCCCCUGCCCACCCCCGAGAGGCGCUGGGGAGCCUCGGGACAGGGCGGGGGAGGCCGGGGAGGCUGCCCGGGGGUGGCGGCCGACAGCGGAGGGAAGCGUGCGAGCCCCCGGGGCCUCCCGGCUCGACAGCGUCCCCGUGGUCCGGGGCUAUCAGCAGGGCUGUCCCGGGGAGACAGAGCGGGAAGGAGCCCGAAGGAGGAGAGUGCGCGUCUCCUCCCCUCGCUGGCCGGCUGCUCUGGGACCUGCUGGAUUUCCGGGNCGCAGUGUCGCCACCCCGAGGCCGAGCUCACUCAGGAGGCAGCUGGCUCCCUGCGGCCUCCACGCUGCGGGCAGGAGAACUAGGGGCGGAGGGGGGUCCGACCCCUGGGGUCCCAGAUGGUCUCGCCUGUAGGAUGCAGACACUCAGGGCUGCUGAGAAAGCGCGUGGGGUCUGUGUGUGUGAGGCCCCGGGACUCUCAGGAGCCCCUCCCAAUGGCUCCUGCUGCUGGGCGGGUCCCGGGGCUGUCCCGCCUGCAGCCUCUCCCUCUGGAGCUGCCGCCCCAGGGCGCUUCCCAGGGGCCGGGGCUCGGCUGGCCUGCGCUUCCCCACGACCUCCGCCCUGGCCGGCUCUGCGUCUGGGACCCUCUCCUCCUGCAGCCCUGCUGCCAGGGCCCUGGAGCGCGCUUCCUGCCCCGGAGCUGCCUGGCCGUCCCCUGCACCCUUGUCCCCCAGGCCUCACGGGGUGCCCGACAGGCCCUCCUCCCUGA